rnacentral:misc_RNA from 1 species
AGAGAUUCUUCAUAUAGAAAGUUCAUGUUUCUAAGGCAUUGUUCUAAAGAAAAUUGGAAUCCGUGCAUAUUUUUGUUGUAUAUUGAGUUGAAAUCACAGUGCCAUUACUUAUUUUUAUGACCAACCCACUUUGAUUUGCCAUAAUGUGAAUAAUGCAAUUGCAUUUCAGUAACUAGAAUUGCUUUACUGCUUCUAUUCUUGGUAUGAUUCUCUGACAAAGGAAAUGUUCACCACUGGAGAAACAGAGAAGUUCAAGUAGUUUGUUAUGUCCAGUGGACA